UCCUCCCUCUUUCUUCGUGCUUAACACAUGCAAGUCGAACGCUGAAGCUCAGCUUUUGUUGGGUGGAUGAGUGGCGAACGGGUGAGUAACACGUGAGUAACCUGCCUCCUUCUUUGGGAUAACGCCCGGAAACGGGUGCUAAUACUGGAUAUUCACUGGUCUUUGCCUGGGGGUUGGUGGAAAGGGUUUUUCUGGUGGGGGAUGGGCUCGCGGCCUAUCAGCUUGUUGGUGGGGUGAUGGCCUACCAAGGCUUUGACGGGUAGCCGGUCUGAGAGGGUGACCGGUCACAUUGGGACUGAGAUACGGCCCAGACUCCUACGGGAGGCAGCAGUGGGGAAUAUUGCACAAUGGGCGCAAGCCUGAUGCAGCGACGCCGCGUGAGGGAUGGAGGCCUUCGGGUUGUGAACCUCUUUCGCUCAUGGUCAAGCCGCAACAAUGGUUGUGGUGAGGGUAGUGGGUAAAGAAGCGCCGGCUAACUACGUG
rnacentral:rRNA from 1 species